AUGGCUACGGAAUAUCCUGAGGCUAACAAGGUUGUCCAGUUUUUCAUGAUCAUUACUGAAAAUCGUCAACAAGGAGAGCUUGUAAAACCUUGUAUGUUACCAAUAAAGUUUGUGAGGAAACAUGGACAAGGUUUACCAAAUGUUAUAUGUCUAAAGACUUCCAAUGGAGAAAACUGGAAAAUAAAUUUGGUGAUGAAUGAUGGCAAAAUAUGGUUUGGACAAGGUUGGAAGGAAUUUGCACAGUAUUAUUCUCUAGGUUAUGGCCAUAUUCUCUAG